GAUGAACGCUGGCGGCGUGCCUAACACAUGCAAGUCGAACGGAGUCCAGCCUUUAAGACCUUCGGGUCAAAGAGGGGAAGACUGAGUGGCGGACGGGUGAGUAACACGUGGGCAACCUGGCUCAUAGAGGGGGAUAACAGAGAGAAAUUUCUGCUAAUACCGCAUAAGCACACACUGCCGCAUGGCAGAGGGUGAAAAGAGAAUCGCUAUGAGAUGGACCCGCGUCUGAUUAGCCAGUUGGCAGGGUAAGAGCCUACCAAAGCGACGAUCAGUAGCCGAUCUGAGAGGAUGAACGGCCACAUUGGGACUGAGACACGGCCCAAACUCCUACGGGAAGCAGCAGUGGGGGAUAUUGCACAAUGGGGGGAACCCUGAUGCAGCGACGCCGCGUGAGUGAAGAAGUAUUUCGGUAUGUAAAGCUCUAUCAGCAGGGAAGAUAAUGACAGUACCUGAAGAAGAAGCCCCGGCUAACUACGUG
rnacentral:rRNA from 1 species